CUCGCAUAGACUUAACACACGUACAAUUGUACGCUAUCCUCAGCAUACGUACAAGCGUACAAAAGUACGCCGUACAAAGCGUACGGGCGUACAAACCGAAGACGCCAUAUUGAGGGCGGCCGGCGGUAGUUUGCAACCGAGCAGCGCCAUCUUAGUGGCGCCAUUCUCUCCCACAAGUUUCUCCCCUGUCGUUUUCUGCUUCACUUGCUUGCGGUUGUGAUCUAAGACAGAGGUUCCCAAACGGGGUUCCGUGGCGGAUUGCGCGGAACCCUGAAGUCUACCUGCGGAACCCCUGCGGAACCCCUAGGGGUUCCGUGGAAGAAAUACCGUGGAUGAAAUACGGUCAACUUUCGAACAAGCGAUAAGUGAAGUGUAUGAGGGCAACUUGCCCUCACCGGGGUUCGACUUAAGAGCUGAACUCCGGUACCGUUUGAACGCGGAAGAAAUGGACACGCCAAGUCCGUCUUCGAGCGAAUAAAAGCUGCAUUGAAUUGAA